rnacentral:rRNA from 1 species
UACGUAGGUGGCAAGCGUUGUCCGGAUUUAUUGGGUUUAAAGGGUGCGUAGGCGGUCUUCUAAGUCAGUUGUGAAAUACUUCAGCUUAACUGGAGAGGUGCAAUUGAUACUGGAAGACUUGAGUACUGAUGAGGUAGGCGGAAUGGACGGUGUAGCGGAUGAAAUGCUUAGAUAUCGUCCAGAACACCGAUAGCGAAGGCAGCUUACUAAGGAGUAACUGACGCUGAGGCACGAAAAGUGUGGGGAUCAAACAGG